GAGGAUAUUACCAAACUUGUAAAAUUGUAGAUGACAAUUACACUAUAGGACUACAAUAUCCUCUUAUUGAAUAGUUUGUGUAGGAAAGUCUUAUUUUCACCAUUUUCCAUAUUGUAGGUCAGUGGAAGAGGUGUUUGUGGAGGGGAGUGGUCAGCAGCCAGAGAGACCUCCCAAAAACUGCCAGCAACAUAGACGAGGAGGGAUUGGAGUUAUGGUGAAAUGGAGUAUGGCAUAUCAGGAUGGUACUGGAUUAACACUAGGAGAGGGGGUGGAACAGUGCAAUGCCUUCCUCUGUAGGAUUCCAGUGACCACAAAACACAUUUCAAAAGCAGGACGCGCAGACAUGCUGACUCUCAUGGCCAUGCACUGACAUCAGCAAACGUUUAACAAUUUAGCCAUCUCAAAUACUCGCCGAUAUCAGAAGAUUCGCCAAGCAAGAGACUGUUACCUACAAGUUUUGUCGGGAGCCGAGAACAUCAACUUCUUGUACAGUGCUUCAGCUGAUGAGUACGACAGUGACUUUGACUUUCUGGUGAUGGUCUGUAAUCCACAAGACUGUGAUACCUUCCAUUAUUCUGGAAAAAGAUUUCUAACUGUCAAUAUAAUGCAAUUAAUAAAAUCUACUUUUCAUAA